rnacentral:rRNA from 1 species
GUGUCAGCAGCCGCGGUAAUACAGAGGGUGCAAGCGUUGUCCGGAAUCACUGGGCGUAAAGGGCGCGUAGGCGGCUUGAUAAGUAGGGGGUGAAAUUCUGCGGCUUAACCGCAGAGCUGCCUUCUAAACUGUCAGGCUUGAGCACGGUAGAGGCUGGUGGAAUUCCCGGUGUAGCGGUGGAAUGCGUAGAGAUCGGGAAGAACAUCGGUGGCGAAGGCGGCCAGCUGGGCCGUUGCUGACGCUGAGGCGCGAAAGCGUGGGGAGCAAACAGGAUUAGAUACCCUGGUAGUCC